CUGAGUCGCCCACGACGAUGCCGCUCCAGCCUUCUGACCACCGCACACCGUCGCCGUCUCCCAGUAGCUUGAGUCGUUGCCGCCUCUAGACAGUUUCUCCACCAUCGAUCGUGCCGAUCUCGCCCAGCCGGUCUGAGUCGCCCACGCCGCCACAGCUCCAGCCUCCUGACCACCGCACACCGUCGCCCUCUCCUAGCAGCUUGAGUUGCUGCCGCCUCCAACUGGUUUCUCCACCGUCCAUCGUCGCGCUGCUUAUCUUCUGUUGCGUGGGUCUUCGUCGGACUCUUAGAUUUUGAUUUGAGCUUGGGAAAUUACAACAGCGACUGUCCAGUGGAUUCGAGAUCGUUCGACAAGAGUUUUGGUUCCAAGUCGUCGUCCAUUGGGAUUUAAAAUCUGUUAGAAGGAGAUUUUGGAGUCAAAAUCUUGGGAGUGGUUGUUGAUCAAGUUCUUUGGGGUCGUUACUUCAAAUCGCUGUCAUCGUUUGGUUGUCUAAUUUUAUCUGUGGAAUUUCGAUUAAGGUAAGGGUAGUGAUGCACUAGCGAUGGAUAAGAGGAAUUCAUGAUCGAGCCACUGGGACUAGUUUUUUUUACGCUUCCGCAUCAUGAGAUUUAGAGUUCUUUUCAUAUUUCUCUUAAUGUUAGUUUUGGCGUUUGAAACUUAUUAGGGGAGUCUAAGCCAUCACUGACAGAGAAGGGAUUCUCAGUCUUAAGGGAUUACUAAUACUCAACUUCCGAGAAGAAGUUCUCUAUCUUAGGAAAAUCUAAGAUUUUUCAGUUAAGGGAGUUCACUGAUCCAAGAGGAAGAUAAUCAAAUUGAGAGGAGUCUCACACACUUUCGGGUGUCAAAGUGGAGCCUAAGUUCAGUUGAAAGGGAGUCUCACAUCUAAGGGGAGCCUAGGUGAUCUGUGAGUUAAGCUCUAUGUGAGCCACUGUAGUAGUUGGUAUACUACAGAUAAAUACCAUGUUGUAAACUGCUUAACUUUUUAAUAUUAGUGGAUUAUUUUUCCUGGGCACUUUGCCCCCCAGAUGUAGGCGUUUAUCAUCAAACUGGGUUGCCAAUUGUUGCGUUUCUUUA